GGGGGGGGGGGUCCUGAGCCUACCUUGAAGAAGCUGGCCCUCUUGCGUUGAGGCUGACUGAGUAAGCUGGUAGACAUGAUGUGGUUUACUCCAGUCCGAUGCUGUCCCUCUUAACGUUGGCUGCCUGGAUGCCUGAGAAAAGAUAGGACAGGAAAUGAAACCGCAUUACUGUGUGAUCAACAGAAAAAAACUCAAACAAUGUUGCUCUGUUCAGUUCUGGCAACAAGUAGCACGAUCCCCAUCCUCUAAUUGCCAUUGGGAAUCUAGUGAAAACACUCCUUUACUCACAAGAAAUCAGCCGACUAAAAAGAGACAGAGAAACCCAAUGUCGGAGGAACAGAAGAAGAGAAAAGGGAGACUGACCGACAGAGAGGCCAGACACGAGUAAACGUUGGGCAAGCUUUUCAGGAAUAGCGUGAACUGAAAGAAAAAGAAGACUGCAAACCAGACGCCGACUCGGCCGUGUUGCUUUUGAAAUUGAAAGUACCCUUGGGUGAACUUUGUCUUCGUGGUAUUCUUGAUUCUGAUAGUCUCUGUACAAAUGUGUUUGCUCAACCAUUUAGUUGUGAGCCCUGUAAAAA
ensembl:lncRNA